CAGCAGCAACAGUGCCAGCAGUGCCAGCAACUGCAGCAGCAGCAGCAGCAACAGCAGCAGCAGCAACGUAGGAGGAGAAAAAACAGGAGAAGCCGGAGAAGCAGGAAGAGCAAGAGGACCAGGAGGACCAGGAGGACCAGGAACACCAGGCGGAGGCGAAGAAGAAAUAAUGAGUGAUUGUGUCUACGUUUAUAGAAAGAGUUUGAUGUGGUAGAAAUGUUGCUUCCUUGGAGAAAUGUGUACUCAAGAAUUUACUUGUGUAGAGUCUCACUAUGCUGCCAUCUGAGACUUCGAGUUCAUUUCUGAAACCAUGCUUCUUCCCAGCAUCACGCGAAGAACACGACAGAUACAGAUCACCACAUUUAGCUGGUGGUAUUGUAAAAUCUCUUCAUUACUGACUUUCAUUUUUGCUUGUGUAUAAAUUUGAAUCAAAUUUUAUAUUUUCUCAUUUACUACAAGUUUGCUUAAUUCACAUUUAGAUGAUAUUUUAUUAUAUGCCAUGAUUUUUUAGAUUACAAAAGAUAUUUAAGUACUGAAAAUAUUUGUAAUUUUUUAUUGGUUAUUUUAUUUGUUUACAUUUUAAGUGUUGUCCACAUUUCUGAUUUCAUCUUUGCAAACUGCCUAUUCCAUAUCCAUUCCCCCUGCUUCUAUGAGAGUGCUCCCAAGCCCACCCACUCAUUUCCCCUUCACUGCAUUUCCUUAUGAUAUGGCAUCAAGUCUCCACAAGACCAAGAGCCUCCCCUCCCACUGAUGUCAGAAAAGCCAGUCCUCUGCUACAUAAGCAGCUGGAGCUAUGGGCCCUUCUAUGUGUACUCUUUGGUUGGUGGUUCAGUCCUUGGGCGCUCUGGGGGGUCUUGUUGAAUAAUACUUUUGUAUAUUAUACUUUUCAUUAUUUAAAACAACAUUUUAAUUAAAAUAUUCAAUGAUAUUAUACCACUUCCUCAAUUUCUUCAGCUCCUUUCCUACUUUCAUGCCAUCAUUAAGCCCCUUUGCCAAAAGAAAACAAAAUAAAUUAAAACAACAACAAAACCAAAAAACAAUAAAAAUCCACAAAACAACAACAACAAAAAACCCAAAAAAUGAUAAUAAAGUCCAAUAGAAAAUAAUUCCCUCAAAAUCAGGAAAAUAAAACCACAUUGAAAACAAACAACUAAAAAUAAUCAAAAUACAACAAACAAACUACAAAAAAACAAAACAACAACAACAAAAACAUAAACAAACUGUAUCCAUGUUAAUGCAUACACUCAAAAUCUCAGAAAACUGUGCAGUCAAAUUAUUGGUGAUUCUUCUACUGCUGAACCUGAGGGACUGUCCUGGUUGAUGUACCUAGUUUUACUUUCAGGAAAACUAGAUGUUUUUAUCUUUCUAAGUGGUUAUAUGUGAGAGUUCAGUUGUUAACCUUUACUCUAGGGGCUACAUUUUCA